AACGAACGCUGGCGGCAGGCCUAACACAUGCAAGUCGAGCGCGCAUUCGGUUGUGCGGCGGACGGGUGAGUAACGCGUGGGAAUAUGCCCUUCUCUACGGAAUAGUCUUGGGAAACUGGGGGUUAUACCGUAUUCGCACUUUGGGGGAAAGAUUUAUCGGGGAAGGAUUAGCCCGCGUUGGAUUAGGUAGUUGGUGGGGUAAUGGCCUACCAAGGCGACGAUCCAUAGCUGGUUUGAGAGGCUGAUCGGCCACACUGGGACUGAGACACGGCCCAGACUCCUACGGGAGGCAGCAGUGGGGAAUCUUAGACAAUGGGGGCAACCCUGAUCUAGCCAUGCCGCGUGAGUGAUGAAGGCCUUAGGGUUGUAAAGCUCUUUCAGCUGGGAAGAUAGUGACGGUACCAGCAGAAGAAGCCCCGGCUAACUCCGUG
rnacentral:rRNA from 1 species